rnacentral:ncRNA from 2 species
GGCCAGCAUCAAGAGUCGGGCCGACGCCCGGCACCAACCUGCCCCGUGCAAGGUGGUGCCUCUGUCCAUGGAUGGAGGGAUGUGGCCGAACCGGCAACACGGUGUUCAAGC